rnacentral:misc_RNA from 1 species
AAGUCGUAACAAGGUUUCCGUAGGUGAACCUGCGGAAGGAUCAUUGGGGGAGAGAGAGAGUUGGGGAUGUUGGAAUGAAUCAUGAUGUUAAUUACACUAUCUACAAUACCACACAACAACUGCUGACAAUGGAUCUCUGGGCUCUU